rnacentral:rRNA from 1 species
UACGUAGGGGGCAAGCGUUGUCCGGAAUCAUUGGGCGUAAAGCGCGUGUAGGCGGCUUGGUAAGUCCGCUCUGAAAGCCCGGGGCUCAACCCCGGGAGGCGGGUGGAUACUGUCAAGCUCGAGUCCGGAAGAGGCGAGUGGAAUUCCUGGUGUAGCGGUGAAAUGCGCAGAUAUCAGGAGGAACACCGGUGGCGAAGGCGGUUCUCUGGGCCUGUACUGACGCUGAGGAACGAAAGCGUGGGGAGCGAACAGG